AGUCUUGAAAAACUGGUAAAAGGAGAUUGCUGCACUCAGUUGUCUACCAACAACGACUACGUGCCCCAACCAGGGAGCUGGCACAGAGUCGACAUCUCGGGAAAAGCCAUCUGACCGUCGCUGUCAAACAGGGGUUGCAGUAGGGAGCAGCUUGACCUGUCAACACCAACAAAGGACACAUGGUACUAUCCAGAAUGUUUGACUGACGAGGAAAUGCUGCAGGUGGUCUGUGACUAUGAAGUAGAAGAGAGUACUACAGUAGAAGCAACAUCGGCAGAGUGUGUAACCCCAUUUCAACAAAACAGAGCAG